rnacentral:rRNA from 1 species
GACGAACGCUGGCGGCGUGCUUAACACAUGCAAGUCGAACGGAAAGGCCCUGCUUUUGUGGGGUGCUCGAGUGGCGAACGGGUGAGUAACACGUGAGUAACCUGCCCUUGACUUUGGGAUAACUUCAGGAAACUGGGGCUAAUACCGGAUAGGAGCUCCUGCUGCAUGGUGGGGGUUGGAAAGUUUCGGCGGUUGGGGAUGGACUCGCGGCUUAUCAGCUUGUUGGUGGGGUAGUGGCCUACCAAGGCUUUGACGGGUAGCCGGCCUGAGAGGGUGACCGGCCACAUUGGGACUGAGAUACGGCCCAGACGCCUACGGGAGGCAGCAGUGGGGAAUAUUGCACAAUGGGCGGAAGCCUGAUGCAGCAACGCCGCGUGCGGGAUGACGGCCUUCGGGUUGUAAACCGCUUUCGCCUGUGACGAAGCGUGAGUGACGGUAAUGGGUAAAGAAGCACCGGCUAACUACGUG